rnacentral:rRNA from 1 species
AAAAACAUGUUCUUUUGUUUAUAUAAAAGAUCUGACCUGCCCAAUGAUUAUUAUUUAAUGGCUGCAGUAUUUUGACUGUACAAAGGUAGCAUAAUCAUUUGUCUUUUGAUUGAAGUCUAGAAUGAAUGGUUUGAUGAAAAAUAUAUUUUCUUUAUUUUAUAAUGAAAAUUUAAUCUUUUAGUUAAAAAGCUAGAAUUUGAUUAUAGGACGAGAAGACCCUAUAGAACUUUAUUUUUGAUUUCAUAUGUUUAAUAUGGUAUAUUAUAAAAUAUAUGAAGGUUAAAUUUUGUUGGGGUGACAGAAAAAAUAUAAUAACUUUUUCUAUUUUUUUCAUAUUCAUUGAAUUUUUGAUCCUUUUUUAGGGAUAUAAGAUUAAGUUACCUUAGGGAUAACAGCGUUAUUGUUUUGGAGAGUUCAUAUCGAUAAAAUAGUUUGCGACCUCGAUGUUGGAUUAUAAUAAGAUAUGGGAGUAGAAUAUUAUUUUCUAGGUCUGUUCGACCUUUAAACUUUUACAUGAUCU